rnacentral:lncRNA from 1 species
GUGGUAAGUUGUUUUGUGUUUGUUUUUGUCUUUGCCUGUGGACCAGGUAUGGAAAAGGAUCUCAGCAAACACUUUCUACAUGCUCCAUAUAAGCAUCGUUGGAGCAACUCUGUCACAAGAGAAGCAGUCCAGCCCCCUCUACCCAAGGAGCAAGAUGAAUCUGAUGUGCAGCCACACUUGUGGAUGUGGGUAAACCCCAACCUGGUUUGCCCCAUAACAGGAUACCCUAAUAAGGGAGUCCCAGGAAAACAAGUGCAUUUGGUAGUUCCUGCACCCAAGGCAGCUGUUAGAAAACCUACUUCAGUAAAACCAAGGCCCCCAGUAGCUGCUCCCCUACAAACUUCCUCUGGACAAUGUGUUUCAGUGCCCCUAGUAACUGCUGCACCCAAGGUCUCAACUAGAAAAUAUAGUUCAGUAAAGGCAGUGGCUCUCGUCACUGCCCUGCAGACUUCUCCUUUGGCCUCUGUUUCCAUACCCCCGUUGGCUGCUUCUGGUGCUGUGACUCCGCAGGCUUCCACAGUCAAGAAUGUUCCCAGAAAACCAGUGUUCCCUGUAUUAUUGGCAGCUGUUGCACCCAAGGCUUCUACUCCAGUAAAACUUGUACCUCCAGUAGCUGCUGCAUCCAAGGCUUCCAACAGAAAACAUGCUUCAGUAAAGACUGUGCCCCCAGUAGCUGACACCAUGCAGGUUUGCACACAGACACCUGGAAAAAACAUGUCCCUGGAAGCUGCAGCACUUGUGGACUCCUAUCAAAAGCCAGUCUUAAUUGACUCCAAGCAACUCUGUCCCAAGGAGGAGGUACUACUGUGCUCAAGCAAAGCAAAGGUAUGUUAGAUGGGCUUCAUGUGCACUGAAUUUCUAUGUGGCUUACUGUUAUUUUGGAGGCUGCUGGCUCCUGAUCUUCUCACUAGCAGCAGCAUCAGAGGAGCUAGUGGUAGCACAGCUGUACAAUUGAGAGGGAGUGAACAAUAGGAGACUAAGCUCCUGCAGUAAGAAUCUCUUGCUCUUAAAGAGCAGUCU